UACGGCAACAUCACGUUGAAAUACUCGUUCCCGUACGAUUACGAAGUUAAGCGACGUUGAGCCUGGUUAGUAGCUAGAUUAGUAACCCUUUGGGAAUACUAAGUGCUGUAAG